UACGUAGGGUGCGAGCGUUGUCCGGAAUUAUUGGGCGUAAAGAGCUUGUAGGCGGUCUGUCGCGGCUGCUGUGAAAAUCCGGGGCUCAACCCCGGACUUGCAGUGGGUACGGGCAGACUAGAGUGUGGUAGGGGAGACUGGAAUUCCUGGUGUAGCGGUGAAAUGCGCAGAUAUCAGGAGGAACACCGAUGGCGAAGGCAGGUCUCUGGGCCACUACUGACGCUGAGAAGCGAAAGCAUGGGGAGCGAACAGG
rnacentral:rRNA from 1 species